GCCUACGGAAUGCACCCCUGCCCCAAACGGUGGGCCUCAAGUGACAACAUUCACGAUUUUGGGGGGAACUGGUAGGGUACCCAGCACGUCCCCAGCACGAAGCCCCUGUGCAACAAUUGCUAGGCCACAGACGCCAACAGUUGCGCUCACUCAGCUACGCAGAAUGUCCCCAGCAAGCACUGCUGCUGCAAAUGGGCCACGGACGCCAACAGUCACGGUGGGGGGAAGAACCCCUACGCUAUCCAGCACACAGUCCUUGGCAUGCACUCCUGCCACAGACAAGCUUCACUCACCAACAUUUAUGACUGGAGGGGGAGUGUCCAGCACGCCUACGGAAUGCACCCCUGCCCCAAACGGUGGGCCUCAAGUGACAACAUUCACGAUUGUGGGG